UGAGGAAUAUUGCGCAAUGGGCGAAAGCCUGACGCAGCGACGCCGCGUGGAGGAUGACGGUCUUCGGAUUGUAAACUUCUGUUAAGUGGGAAGAAAGGCGAAGCUCUAAUACAGCUUUGAUAUGACGGUACCACUAGAGAAAGCACCGGCUAACUUCGUGCCAGCAGCCGCGGUAAUACGAAGGGUGCAAGCGUUAUUCGGAUUUAUUGGGCGUAAAGGGUGCGCAGGCGGUAUGUUAAGUCAACUGUUAAAUCCCCCAGCCUAACUGGGGUUCGGCGGUAGAUACUGGCGUACUAGAGGGUGGAAGAGAGAAGUGGAAUUCUUGGAGUAGCGGUAAAAUGCGUAGAUCUCAAGAGGAACACCGAUGGCGAAGGCAGCUUCUUGGUCCACAUCUGACGCUCAUGCACGAAAGCGUGGGGAGCAAACAGGAUUAGAUACCCCGGUAGUCC
rnacentral:rRNA from 1 species